GAUGAACGCUGGCGGCGUGCCUAAUACAUGCAAGUCGAGCGAAUGGAUUAAGAGCUUGCUCUUAUGAAGUUAGCGGCGGACGGGUGAGUAACACGUGGGUAACCUGCCCAUAAGACUGGGAUAACUCCGGGAAACCGGGGCUAAUACCGGCUAACAUUUUGAACCGCAUGGUUCGAAAUUGAAAGGCGGCUUCGGCUGUCACUUAUGGAUGGACCCGCGUCGGCAUUAGCUAGUUGGUGAGGUAACGGCUCACCAAGGCAACGAUGCGUAGCCGACCUGAGAGGGGGAGCGGCCACACUGGGGCUGAGACACGGCCCAGACUCCUACGGGAGGCAGCAGUAGGGAAUCUUCCGCAAUGGACGAAAGUCUGACGGAGCAACGCCGCGUGAGUGAUGAAGGCUUUCGGGUCGUAAAACUCUGUUGUUAGGGAAGAACAAGUGCUAGUUGAAUAAGCUGGCACCCUGACGGUACCUAACCAGAAAGCCACGGCUAACUACGUGCCAGCCGCCGCAGUAA
rnacentral:rRNA from 1 species